GAGGUGGAUAUUCUUUAGCUUUCCGGCUUGUUAAGAGCAGCUUGAAAAUGAGAGGUGAGCUAAAUGGGAGAGCGAGGCGCUGCCAGAUUGUGGGAUGAGAAGUUAUGGGCUGUGUCCUGGCAGCCUGAAACAGCAGAUGUGCUCCAGCCCAGCCCCCUUCUGCCCCCAGCUCUCAGGUACAGCUCCUGGAACCAUCUCUUACCACAUUCUCUUCCCAGAGGAAAGGUGUUUGCUUUGUUACACCGGUAUGAGUUUGGCUUUCUGAACGGAGGAGAGGAAUGUAGGUAAAAAAAAAAAAACCCAAUCAUUGAAAAAUGUCACCAUGCAAGUAUUCUGCCACCAAGGCAGUAAAGUCAAGAUGCACAGAUAAAUACUAUCCAAUACACCCCUCUGUGCUCUGGGCCAAAGUCCCCGUUUGUCUGUGUGAGCAGCACAGGUUUCCUUCCCUUCUGCCAUCAUCACCUUCACCAACCCUUUGCAUGAUUCAGAUCCAUAAAGUUCUAUCCAAAGUGCCUAAAGUAUCACGAGUGCUAUCUGCACACACCCCAACACUUCUUUUAUUACACACACCAGAAUCCAUACCCAUUCUUUUAGCACCUCCUACAGCCUUCCUUUUAAUGCUAAACCAUUGAGUCCAAAUGUAUCCGGUGAUCAUCAUCAGGAUCAUAGAAUCAUUAAGGUUGGAAGUGACUACUAAGAUCUUAUAGUCCAACCCUAACCCACCCCCACCUGCCCACUGCCCUUAGUGCCACAUGGCUCUGGAGCACCUCCAGGGAGAAUGACUCCCCCACCUCCCUGGGCAGCUGUGCCGCUGCAUCACCACUCCUUCUGAGAAGAAACGUUCCCUAAUAUCCAGCCUGAACCUUCCCUGAAGCAACUUGAGGUCAUUCCCUCUUGUCCUGUCACUGUCACCUGGGAGAAGAGGCCAACCCCAGCUCUCCACAGCCUCCUUUCACGCAGCUGUAGGGAGCAGUGAGGUCUCCCCUGAGCCUGCUCUUCUCCAAACUGAGCCAUCUCAGUUCUCUCAGCCACUGCUCACAAGACCUGUGCUCCAGAGCCCUCACUAGCUUUGAUGUCCUUCUUCAGACACACUCAUGACCUGUGCUGGCCACUCAUAAGAGCAACAAAGAAGGCACAGAGCUCAGUUCACAGGGGGAAGCACAGCUGCAUUUCUGCUCUGCCUCUGUUGUCUGCCAUCACCACUGCUACGCUGCUCCAUCUGCAAUACCACGGUGCCACUCUCUGCCUGCAUCCAGUACUAGCAGACUUUCUGCUUGGAAUUCCUCUAGUAUAAAUGUUGCUACCUCAGCAGAAGUUUGCAAGUCACUGGCUUGUCUUCCAAACACCCUUAUUCAUGCUUUCAGACUAGUUGCUCACAUAAUUUAGCAGCUGAGUGUAACUGCGUUAGGAGCUCCACCUCCACACACCCAGUAGCAACCAGCACAGGGUCAGCUCCAGCCCUCCAGCGCCUGGAAAACCUCAGAGCAGCCAGCAAAACCAGCUUUCCUUCCAUGGUGCACCCACAGAGAUGGAAUUGCACGACGUGAUCACAUUCACCCCACCUUCACCACUGGCUCUGCUCUUCCCAAGGGUCUUCUCUGGCUGCAGAGCAGAGGCAGCCAGGUGUGCAUCCCAAUGCUGCAACUGCUGGAAGAUCCUCUGCAGCAGUUGGGUUUGUGUUAAGCCAACACCUUCAGAUGGAUUAAGCCUCCCCUGGAGCCAGCUCAGGAUCACAGACCCCGUUGCAUGGCACCAUCACUUUCUGGUAGCUCAGUUUAAGAUGAGAUCUUUUGGGGAAAAGCUGGAAACCUCAGAGCACCCCGAAAGAUGCUGGAGUGUCUCCUGGUGCAAAACAGCUCAGCUGAAGCUG
ensembl:lncRNA